UGGGAGGGUUUAGUACAUUCAGCAGGGCAAUUCAAUUAUGGUCCUCGAGGGCCGAAAAACACUUCUGGUUUUUGUUUCUACCUGAUAUUUGCAUUUACUCAUCUCAUGUCCCAGGUCUAAAUCCGUCCCUGAUUAGAAGGGAAGAAUGAAACCCAGAAGUGUAAUUGGCCUUAAGGGGCCAGAUUUGAAAAGACCUAAAGUAUACCUCCUGUACUCAUCCCUCGCGCCUCUAUCCAACAUCCAAUCUCUUAUCCCUUUACCUAGCCUUUCCCCUCUCGCUCCCUCUCAGCACUGGGCCCUAUCUACUCUGUCCUGGAGCUGCUGCUACUCUUGGGCUUGCCAUAUCCCACUGAUUGUGCGUGUGUUCAAUAUAGUGGUCAGUAUCAUAUAGGAUGCCGUAUGUGAGGCUACAGGGGGCAGAGCUGGAAGAAACAUUUUGAAUUUCAAUACGCCAUUAAUCGGUUCCCUUUUAAGAGGCUUCCCCAAAAAUUCAGAUUUGACGUCACGGUACCUUGUGAUGCUCAACAUUUUGGGGUUUGCAUUGAAACAAGGUGAUGCUAGCUAUCAAUAAGGAUAUGAGUCCAAUAAUAAUAUCUUAAUAACCAAAUCCUUGGAUUUUCAAGCCUCAAAUCCUGGGAUUGCCUGCCAAUAUUUGCUAAAAGAGGAUUGGCAGGCAGUCCCCUCCUGCAGUAUCUCUGUCUGUCCAUCUGGUUCCUGCUGCAAUAUUCUGACUGCUCUACCAGUCUGUCUACCACUCACCACCACCAACUGUAACACACUGGGCUAGCAGUGGACCCUAGCACUUCACUGAGACAAGCUGCGCUGUCUGAAUAGUGUAGCACUAAUAUAGUGGUCUAAGCUCUACCUAGAAAGGCUGCUGCCAAGAUAGCAUUGACAGCAGCACUAAACUUUUUGAGUCAGUUCUCGUCAAAAUAUAAAUUGAGACAGACACUUUAGGAGCCAUAACAUAAAUCCUCUGUUGUGUUUCAUGUGGCUGUACACCACAGGUGGGCGACAUAUAGCCCUCAGGCCAGAUCCGGCUCGCGAGCCCGUUCAAUCUGACCCGGGGUAGGUUUGAGUAAAACAAAUAUAAUUUGGGGCAACUGUUGAACGUCUAAACUAUGUAGAAAGUAUGUUGAAAUUAUAAUGGACCUAUACGUGUUCAAAUGACGACCAUUUCUUUGGCCCAACAAUUGCUUUUGAAUUUUUUUCUCUCGAUGUUGCCCUCAAGACUAAAUGAUUGCCCACCCCUGCUGUACAACAUGACCUGUUGUGCCAGGGACGUGAUUGGUCGGUGUGUUGAUGAAAGCUCAGCCCAUUGGUCCUGUGUCUCCUGUGUAGUGACAGUGGCAGUGACAGUAUGAUGAGAGGCAAAUAAGGCCAGUAUUGUUAAUGCUAUACAUACAGCGCUCAUCAGAUAGUUUCUAAUAUAGCUUGCCUGACAUAAAACAUGUAAACGUGUAAAUUAUAACAUAAAGAAGAAUGCAGUACUUUACUUUCCCCGUACGUACCUGCGACGUACCAGACCAGAAGCUACCCUCCUCCCUGAGAUCGUUUGUUCUCUCAAGGAUGUCCCUCUCUCAGACAUGGUUCCUUAUAGAAAGCCCAGACUCGGGGCUGGAGCCAGUUUUGAUACCAAGACUGCAGUAGAGGGGCGGUAAAAAAGUCCACCCACAUAACAUCAGGACCCUCUGAA